AUACGUAGGGGGCAAGCGUCAUCCGGAUUUACUGGGUGUAAAGGGAGCGUAGACGGCGAAGCAAGUCUGAAGUGAAAGGACGGGGCCCAACCCCGGAACUGCUUUGGAAACUGUUUGGCUGGAGUGCGGGAGGGGGAAGCGGAAUUCCUAGUGUAGCGGUGAAAUGCGUAGAUAUUAGGAGGAACACCGGUGGCGAAGGCGGCUUACUGGACCGUAACUGACGUUGAGGCUCGAAGGCGUGGGGAGCAAACAGGAUUAGAUACCCUGGUAGUCCACGCGGUAAACGAUGAUCACUAGGUGUCCGUGGGUAUGACCCAUGGGUGCCGCAGCCAACGCAAUAAGUGAUCCACCUGGGGAGUACGUUCGCAAGAAUGAAACUCAAAUGAAUUGACGGGG
rnacentral:rRNA from 1 species